CCCAGGUCAGGCGGGAUU
rnacentral:rRNA from 1 species